rnacentral:rRNA from 1 species
UCUUGGUCAUUAGAGGAAGUAAAAGUCGUAACAAGGUUUCCGUAGGUGAACCUGCGGAAGAUCAUUAGUGAAUCUUCAAAAGUCGGCUUGUCGGAUUGUGCUGGUGGAGCACAUGUGCACGUCUUGCGAGUCGCAAACCCACACACCUGUGCAUCUAUACUCUGAGUGCCGCUUUGCAUGGCCUUGACCGGCCUGGCGCUCGAGUACUUUUAACACACUCUCGAAUGUAAAGGAAUGUCUUGUUGUGCGUAAUGUAAAAUUGAAACAACUUUCAACAACGGAUCUCUUGGCUCUCGCAUCGAUGAGAACGCAGCGAAAUGCGAUAAGUAAUGUGAAUUGCAGAAUUCAGUGAAUAUCGAAUCUUUGAACGCACCUUGCACCCUUUGGUAUUCCGAAGGGUACACCGUUUGAGUGUCAUUGUAAUCUCACUACGAUCGACUUUUGUCUUUCUGAUGUGGACUUGGAUGUUGCCGUGGAUAUCUAUGGCUCGUCUGAAAUGCUCAGUGUACCCCGCAGAGCGGCGUAUUCGGUGUGAUACAUCUUCACCGGAUUGAUCCUUUACGGGUCGCGUCUGUAAUGUGUGGCUCUAUGCUUCCAACGUCUUGAUAGGACAAUCUUUGACAAUUCGACCUCAAAUCGGGUGGGACUCCCGCUGAACUUUAAGCAUAUCAAUAAGCGGAGGA